rnacentral:rRNA from 1 species
AACGCUAGCUACAGGCUUAACACAUGCAAGUCGCGGGGCAGCAUGAAGGAUGCUUGCAUCCUUUGAUGGCGACCGGCGCACGGGUGAGUAACGCGUAUCCAACCUGCCUGUUACCACGGCACAGCCCGUCGAAAGGCGGAUUAAUGCCGUAUGUGGUCUUGAAAGGGCAUCUGAUCAUGACUAAAGGUUCAGCGGUAACAGAUGGGGAUGCGUCCGAUUAGCUAGACGGCGGGGUAACGGCCCACCGUGGCGACGAUCGGUAGGGGUUCUGAGAGGAAGGUCCCCCACACUGGAACUGAGACACGGUCCAGACUCCUACGGGAGGCAGCAGUGAGGAAUAUUGGUCAAUGGGCGUAAGCCUGAACCAGCCAAGUAGCGUGAGGGAAGACUGCCCUAUGGGUUGUAAACCUCUUUUGUGCGGGGAUAAAGUGUGGGACGUGUCCCAUAUUGCAGGUACCGCACGAAUAAGGACCGGCUAAUUCCGUGCCAGCAGCCGCGGUAAUACGGAAGGUCCGGGCGUUAUCCGGAUUUAUUGGGUUUAAAGGGAGCGCAGGCCGUCCUUUAAGCGUGCUGUGAAAUGCCGCGGCUCAACCGUGGCACUGCAGCGCGAACUGGAGGACUUGAGUACGCACGAGGUAGGCGGAAUUCGUGGUGUAGCGGUGAAAUGCUUAGAUAUCACGAAGAACUCCGAUUG